rnacentral:rRNA from 1 species
AUACGUAGGGAGCGAGCGUUGUCCGGAAUUACUGGGCGUAAAGGGUGCGUAGGCGGGACUGCAAGUCAGAUGUGAAAUGCCGGGGCUCCACCCCGGAGCUGCAUUUGAAACUGUGGUUCUUGAGUGAGGUAGAGGUAAGCGGAAUUCCUAGUGUAGCGGUGAAAUGCGUAGAUAUUAGGAGGAACAUCGGUGGCGAAGGCGGCUUACUGGGCCUUUACUGACGCUGAGGCACGAAAGCGUGGGGAGCAAACAGGAUUAGAUACCCUGGUAGUCCACGCUGUAAACGAUGAUGACUAGGUGUGGGGGGACUGAACCCUUCCGUGCCACAGUUAACACAAUAAGUCAUCCACCUGGGGAGUACGGCCGCAAGGUUGAAACUCAAAUGAAUUGACGGGG